GUCAAUAAGUGCAUUUUCAAAGGGGCCACUUUGUCCGGACUCUAUUUCAAAUUGUAUUCAUCCGAUCUUCACCAAACUUGGUCAGCAGUUGCAUCUAGUUGAUAUAUAGGCCAAGUUCGAAUAUGGGUCAUGCCGGGUCAAAAACUAGGUCAUAGGGUCAAUUAGUGCAUUUUCAACAGCGCCACUUUGUCCGGACUCUAAUUCAAAUUGUAUUCAUCCGAUCUUCACCAAACUUGGUCAGUAGUUGCAUCUAGUUGAUAUCUAGGUCAAGUUCGAAUAUGGGUCAUGUCGGGUCAAGAACUAGGUCAUAGGGUCAAUUAGUGCAUUUUCAACGGCGCCACUUUGUCCGGACUCUAAUUCAAAUUGUAUUCAUCUGAAACUUUUAAACAACUUUUUAUCCUGCGUCAAAGUGGUAUGGGGGUAUAAGUCACAUUCAGUGACAAAGCUCUAGUUGUUGUUUUUUUUGCUUAUUUCCAAAACAAAUACAUCAAUCAUCAGUGUAUCAUCUCCAAUGGCACACGAAUCGGGCGUAUAUUGCUCCGUCAUGCGGCGCUCUUGUUUUUUAAAUGCAGUCAAAGAGAAGGUAAUUUUGUGUGCACGAAAAAGAAACACAAAUGUCUGUUCUUUAUUAAAUAAGUUAUUGUGUAUGCUACUUUUCAUGUGCUUUGGUUUGACACUUAAGAUGUUGAUAACAUUCAGCCAGGAAACACAAAAGCAGUCGGCUUUUUUUUGAAACCAUGUAAUAGUAAUAAUAGGUCUAUUGGUAGGGGCCUUAGCUUCCACAUUCAUAUGUGUAGAAUGAGAGUGUGAACCAAUAGCUUUGUAUUACUGCUAAGGUGUAAACAACAGCAAUUGGAAGUUGAAAUAAGCAGGUGUGAGGGGUUAAGUGAUGUGAAGUUUUCCCCACAUGGAGCCAAAAAAGCAAUUUUUUGCAAAUGUAUUUUAAGAGUGAAUGCAGGAAUUAAUUCUCUUAUGUCAGGACAGCAGGACAAACAUCACGAAAGUGGAAAUUUCCCCAUACUUGGGAAAUUACAUACCAGUAUACUUCAAACUAUAACACACUUGAAUAUUACCAAAGUCAUUUAAAUUGUCGAGUUUGUUGUCUUACUUUGUUAAGGUUUUUGCUUUUUAUGUCCCCCACUAUAGUAGUGGGGGACAUACUGUUUUUGCCCUGUCUGUUGGUUGGACCUUCGCAACUUGGGGAACCAGUACAGACAGGCAUCAGAGCUAGAGAAAAUUGGUCUACAGGAACUACGAGACCACACCAGACGCAGACUUCAAGACCUGAGGAAAGUGGAAAGGAUAUGGAAAGCCAGAAGGGAGAAGGCCAGACAAAGAUCACGAUUUCUUUCCAAUCCCUAUGGUUUUAGCAAGUUAAUCCUUGAAGAGAAGAAAGCGGGACAGCUGAAUUGUUCUAAAGAGGAGGUUGAAGAGCAUCUGAAGAACACGCACUCUGAUCAGGCGAGACAUAUACGGAUGGAGGGACAUGAACGCAUAGCCCCAGUACCCAUGCCCAUUGUUGCAUUUACUGAGGGAGAACCAACCCUCAAGGAGGUCCAAGAUAUAAUCAAGAAGGCUAGAUCCAAGUCAGCACCAGGCCCAAAUGGAAUACCUUACAAGGUGUACAAGUCAUGCCCAAAACUGCUGAGACGGUUGUGGAAACUAUUGAAGGUGGUCUGGCGUAAAGGAGAUGUACCAGUGGAGUUAUGUUUUUUUUGUUAAGUGCUUUAUAUUUUUACAUAAGAUAUUUUUACAUGAUAAUUAUUUAUUCAUAUUUCAUAAAAUUAAAUGAGUUUUUAUGGUUAAUUUGUUACUUAAUUUCUGUAAAUUUAUUGUUUUUGCCUAGCCUUCCUUGACCAAUAUGUAAUCUGUUCCUUUAUAUUUGAACUCACCUUCACAUAGACACUUUUUAUUUCAAUAUUGAUAAUAUUUACAAAACAUUAAUUACAAUACGAAUAAUGUUUGCAAAAACAUGUAAUAUAGAUAAUGUGGGAAAGAGAAAACACAUUAAAUUCCAGAAAGAUGACAAUUCAAUUCUUCCAAAAGUGUGUUUGAAAAUUUAAAGUAACAUUACUAUUCAAAAUCAACGAAAAUGUCGUACUAUUGUUCGGAAAAUAAACGUAAUCAAUUCAAAAUCAGUUUUCCUUAUGGCAAUUGCCGAAAUUUCAACGUCAGAUGUGGUCUCGUAAAAUAGAUGUUUGUAGAUACAAAAUGCUCGUUUUUAUUAUUGUUUUUCAUAUCUAUCCAUACGACACAUGAACACUAACAUGGUGUUCGUGUGUCGUAUGAAUAGAUAUAUUCGCGGGAAUUAAUUGUGGCCACAAAUAAAUAAAAACGAGCGUUUUGUAUCUACAAAAAUCUGUGUAAUCAUACCACAUCUAGCGUUGAAAUUUGGGCUAUUGCUAUAAGGAACACUGAUUGUUAAGAUGUAAACUUUAUUUUACGAAAUACUUAACGAAAUUUUCGCUGAUUUUGAGCGUUAUAGAGACUUUUAAAAAAACGCAAUUGAUUUUGAAAAUUAAGUUGUCUGCAGUGGCAGAAUUUGUAUCAAAAUAGUUGUUAUGGUAACGAUGAGAUAUUUUAAUCAGAAAAUAAUAACUGUACAAAUAUUUUCAUUAUUCUGUGCCAUGUACGUGUAAUUAUACUACCGUUUACUUGUAAUUAUAGUGAUGAUUUGCUCCUACAAUCUUCCGGUAUACAAUAACCAUACUAAUGUUAUACAAUUUUGUAGUCAAAAUCAAUGAUGCGUUUAUGCGCAUUUCCAAACUUAAAAGAUGUUUGCGGCAGUAAGAUGCCAACUGUACACUUGCAAUACGUUGUGAGUUAAACUUGUGAUUGUUAUUAUAGAUGGAUUACUAAUCCAAUAUAAAAAAUAUAUAUUAUUUUGUUGUUUAAAAGUAGUGCUUUUUAAUGUGGAUUGUUUUAUUUUGUUCCCCUACUGUUUUGUACAUAUUUAAAUCAAAAUGUUAAUACAUAUAUAAUAUCAUAGUAUUAA